AUUGAACGCUGGCGGCAUGCCUUACACAUGCAAGUCGAACGGUAACGCGGGGCAACCUGGCGACGAGUGGCGAACGGGUGAGUAAUGCAUCGGAACGUGCCUGGUAGUGGGGGAUAGCUGCUCGAAAGAGCAGCUAAUACCGCAUACGACCUGAGGGUGAAAGGGGGGGAUCGCAAGACCUCUCGCUAUCAGAGCGGCCGAUGUCGGAUUAGCUAGUUGGUGGGGUAAAGGCCCACCAAGGCGACGAUCCGUAGCUGGUCUGAGAGGACGACCAGCCACACUGGGACUGAGACACGGCCCAGACUCCUACGGGAGGCAGCAGUGGGGAAUUUUGGACAAUGGACGAAAGUCUGAUCCAGCCAUGCCGCGUGCGGGAAGAAGGCCUUCGGGUUGUAAACCGCUUUUGUCAGGGAAGAAAUCUUCUGGGCUAAUACCCUGGGAGGAUGACGGUACCUGAAGAAUAAGCACCGGCUAACUACGUGCCAGCAGCCGCCGUAACAC
rnacentral:rRNA from 1 species